GACGAACGCUGGCGGCGUGCUUAACACAUGCAAGUCGAACGGAAAGGCCCUGCUUUUGUGGGGUGCUCGUGUGGAGAACGGGUGAGUAACACGUGAGUAACCUGCCCUUGACUUGGGGAUAACUUCAGGAAACUGGGGAUAAUACCGGAUAGGAGCUCCUGCUGCAUGGUGGGGGUUGGAAAGUUUCGGCGGUUGGGGAUGGACUCGCGGCUUAUCAGCUUGUUGGUGGGGUAGUGGCUUACCAAGGCUUUGACGGGUAGCCGGCCUGAGAGGGUGACCGGCCACAUUGGGACUGGGAUACGGCCCGGACUCCUACGGGAGGCAGCAGUGGGGAAUAUUGCACAAUGGGCGGAAGCCUGAGGCAGCAACGCCGCGGGCGGGAUGACGGCCUUCGGUUUGUAAACCGCUUUCGCCUGUGACGAAGCGUGUGUGACGGUAGUGGGUAAAGAAGCACCGGCUAACUACGUG
rnacentral:rRNA from 1 species